ACAGGAACUGCUCAGUAGCGGUGAAGGCUUAAGCAAACAUCCUGAAAUCAGAAACUUUCUAAGCGAGAUCCCGGAAAUAGGAAAUUACGCUGCUCUCUCAAAUCGGACGGAUAGGUUGACGGUAUGCCGCAAGAAGAUCCUUCCCUUAUCGAAUCAACCAGAACUUGAGAUUUCGACAAAGCGGUCUGAACUCAAACUUUGCAAAUCGUGGGUGUCUGCCCGGAUCUCGAGGUGGCGGCUGCCUUGUAGCACGUUUCGAGGGUUGUCGAGAAAUUCUCAGGCAGAAUUAGCGAUUGGCAGAGCCGUAAUUGAAAUAAGCCUAAUUUUAGUCUGAGCGAGUCAAAAAAAUGUGACAGAGCCGUGCGCUCGCAGAAAUUACACUCGGGAGAGAGUUGAGACGUGUUGUGGGGAGGGGAAAAAGCUUUAGAAAUAAUAAUUGAGCGAGGAUGAAGUCGGACAAACCCAAGCCAUGAACUUUCUGCUGUUAAAAGGAGCAGUUCUGCCUCUGUUGUGGCUCUAACCUGGCAGAAAACCUACGGCGUUUUGCUGGAUUAAUUUUCUGAAAGUUUGGCGAGCUAAUUUGGCACGCGAAGGGGUCGGACGGGGGCGAGAGCCGCGCGGAGAAGGCGGCGGUGGAGUUUGCCUUGUACUUGAAUGGAAAUUGAAUUAAGUUAAAACUUGAGAUUUAUCCAUAAAUGGGAAAAGUUGACCUGUGGUAGCGAAUCGGGCGCUUAAUCUGAAUGAUGCUAAAUGCAUACGUACGUAAUUAAGCAAUUAUAUGUUUAAGCAAACUUAGGUACUUCUGCAAUUAAAUAGUCUUUUACAGUAUCGUGUUGACUUGUUUUAAUUACUGCCUGCCAGCAUACCAGCCUUUAAAGUUUAAUAACUGCGAAAGAAAUGGGAAAGGGAGCUUGAAAACUUGAACCGGUUUCAUACUUGCUAAUUAAAAUCGUGUUUAAAACUCAUUUGAACUCUUCUGCGUUGGUGAGGCGCUCUGGGAAUAGCCAGCCAGCAGGGUUACGGCUAGGGCUGUAAUACUACUUCAAGAAUAAUCCUGAAGUUCGUAGUAAAUGAAGGAAAACUGGGCAGCGUGAUGAGGAGUGAGCAAGCUUAGAUACAGUCUUUUAAUCUGCUGAGCUAUCAAAAUAAUCAAUUUUUUUUCUGCGUUAUGGACACUGCGAUUUCUGGUGCUGUAACACAAGUAUUAAAUAAUAAUUAAAAAAAAAAAGGUGCUGCAGAUUAUAUGGGAAGCAGCUGAAAUACGGUGAGACUAGAAUGCCAGGUUUUUCCUGCCACCGCUGCUGCUGGGUGGAAAUAACU
rnacentral:lncRNA from 1 species